rnacentral:rRNA from 1 species
AGCGGACGCUGGCGGCAGGCCUAACACAUGCAAGUCGAGCGGCCGUAGCAAUACGGCAGCGGCAGACGGGAGAGUAACACGUGGGAACGCGCCCUUCGGUUCGGAAUAACUCAGGGAAACUUGAGCUAAUACCGGAUACGCCCUUACGGGGAAAGAUUAAUUGCCGAAGGAACGGCCCGCGUCCGAUUAGCUUGUUGGGGAGGUAACGGCUCACCAAGGCGACGAUCGGUAGCUGGUCUGAGAGGAUGACCAGCCUCACUGGGACUGAGACACGGCCCAGACUCCUACGGGAGGCAGCAGUGGGGAAUAUUGGACAAUGGGCGCAAGCCUGAUCCAGCCAUGCCGCGUGGGUGAUGAAGGCCCUAGGGUUGUAAAGCCCUUUCAGCGGGGAAGAUAAUGACGGUACCCGCAGAAGAAGCCCCGGCUAACUUCGUGCCAGCAGCCGCCGUAAGAC